ensembl:misc_RNA Metazoa_SRP Metazoan signal recognition particle RNA
AGCCUGAUACUCGCACCUGAUACUCAGGUAGUCCCAGAUACUCAGGAGCCUGAGGCAGGAGGAUCACUUGAGCCAAGGAGUUCUGGGCUGUAGUGCGCUAUGCCAAUCAGUGUCCACACUAAGUUAGGCAUCAAUUUGGUGACCUCCAGGGAGUGAGGGACCACCAGCUUGUCUAAGGAGGGGUGACCCGGCCCAGGUAAGAAAGGGAGCAGGUCAAAAUUCCUGUGCUGAUCAGUAGUGGGAUGGCGCCUGUGAAUAGCCACUGCACUCCAGCCCAGGCAACACAGCAACGCCAUCACU